ACCUGUUUAUCCUGCAGGAGGUUGCUGCUAUCAGAAUCCGACUAAGACAUGCAAGUGUUUGCCGCAAGGCAACGCAGAAGGCUCAGUAACACGUCGAUAACGUGCCGUGAAGUAAGGGAUAAGCUCGGGAAACUGAGGAUAAUACCUUAUAGGGAAUAGUGUGUGGAAUUCUACUAUUCCAGAAAGCUUCGGUGCUUCACGAUCGGUCGGCGGUCCAUCAGGUUGUUGGUGAGGUAAUGGCUCACCAAGCCGAAGACGGAUAGGGGCCAUGAGAGUGGGAGCCCCGAGAAGGACACUGAGAUACGGUCCUAGCCCUAAGGGGUGCAGCAGUUACGAAACCUUCACAACGCACGCAAGUGUGAUGAGGGGAUUCUGAGUGCUUACGGUUUUGCCGUAGGCUUUUUACGAAGGUAAAUACUUCGUAGAAUAAGUGGUGGGCAAGACUGGUGCCAGCCGCCGCGGUAACCCCAGCGCCACUAGUGGGAACCACGAUUAUUGGGUCUAAAGCAUCCGUAGCCGGUUCGGCAAAUGCCCUGUGAAAUCGUCUCGCUUAACGAGACGGCGUGCAGGGUAGACUACCGAACUUGGGACCAGGAGAGGGGGGCAGUAUUCUCGGGGGAGCGGUAAAAUGUUAUAAUCCCGAGAGGACUACCGAUGGCGAAGGCAGCCUCCUAGAAUGGAUCCGACGGUGAGGGAUGAAAGCUAGGGGAGCGAUCCGGAUUAGAUACCCGAGUAGUCCUAGCCGUAAACGCUGCAUGCCAGAUGUUGCACAAUCUCCGAGAUUGUGCAGUGUCGAAACGAAGGUGUUAAGCAUGCCACCUGGGAAGUACGGUCGCAAGGCUGAAACUUAAAGGAAUUGGCGGGGGAGCACCACAAGGGGUGCGGCGUGCGGUUUAAUCGAAUUCAACGCCGAAAAUCUCACCAGGGGCGCCGGCCGAAUGAUGGUCAGUCUGAAGGGCUUACCGGACAAGCCGAGAGGUGGUGCAUGGCCGCCGUCAGCUCGUGCUGUGAAGUGUCCUGUUAAGUCAGGCAACGAGCGAGACCUGUAUCCACCGUUGCUAACGCGUUCGUAAGAAUGAGCGAGCACACUGUGGAGACUGCCUUCGAAAGGAGGAGGAAGGUGCAGGCUACGGUAGGUCUGUACGCCCCGAAUCUCCUGGGCUACACGCGCGCAACAAUGGUUGUGACAAUGGGAUGCAACACCGAAAGGUGGAGCCAAUCCUCGAAACAUAACCUUAGUAUGAAUUGAGGGCUGCAACUCGCCCUCAUGACACCGGAAUCCCUAGUAAUCAGAGGUUAGCAUCCUCCGGUGAAUAUGUCCCUGCUCCUUGCACACACCGCCCGUCAAGCCAACCGAGCAGGUUUCAGGUGAGCUUCGUUGAGUAAACAUCGCGAACCUGGGGUCAGUGAGGUGGGCUAAGUCGACACAAGGUA
rnacentral:rRNA from 1 species